CCUGGCUCAGGACGAACGCUGGCGGCGUGCCUAACACAUGCAAGUCGAACGAAGAGCGAUGGAAGCUUGCUUCCAUCAAUCCUAGUGGCGAACGGGUGAGUAACGCGUAAUCAACUUGUUCUUCAGAGGGGGACAACAGUUGGAAACGACUGCUAAUACCGCAUACGAUUUAAUCUCGGCAUCGAGGAUAGGUGAAAGGUGGCCUCUACAUGUAAGCUAUCACUGAAGGAGGGGAUUGCGUCUGAUUAGCUAGUUGGAGGGGUAACGGCCCACCAAGGCGAUGAUCAGUAGCCGGUCUGAGAGGAUGAGCAGCCACAUUGGGACUGAGACACGGCCCAGACUCCUACGG
rnacentral:rRNA from 1 species